rnacentral:pre_miRNA from 11 species
UUUUUGAUGCUGUGGAGAGAAUCUGAAAGACCCCCAAAGUGGGGAGACCCUCACUCAAGUCUCGGGAUAAGCCAACACCCCAAUAAUUCAAGAGAGACC